rnacentral:lncRNA from 1 species
UUUAAUCCGACUUAGCAUUAGAAAAACCUAAAAAUUAGGGUUUUGAAUGGACGACUCUCUCACUCUCUCAUCUUCAACAAAAAAUAAGAAGCCUUCCCCCUUGGAAAACCCUAGCUAGCCGCCGCUGAUGCUCUGAAAGAAGAAACAGAGAGAUAACCUUUUCCCCAUGGAAAAACCCCAAAGUCGUCCACAAUUCCCCCUUCUUUAUGAAAAAACAGACCCAUCUUCAAGAACAAUUACCCCUUUUAGACAAACGUUGACCGCCUCCAAAAUUUCCUCUCUAAUGUUACUCUCAUCUCAAAAUUUAGUCCGCACUAGAUUCCCUCAUUUUCUCACCCUUUCUCAUUAAACUCUCAAAUUCAAUAUCUGAGGAAAAAAAUCUCCGAAAACUAAAGAAAAAGUUCAGAAAAGAGAGUCAAAAGUUGUUUUCAAUUUCAAUUGGUUGUUGCAUAUUUUCGGGGUUAAAAGUUUUUUGAAUCGAAGAAAUGACUAUUUUCUGCUGGUCGAUUUUGCCAUGGAUUACUGCCAUUGCUGUUAUUGUCACGUUGAAAUUCAUUUGGCCUUUUUGUCUAGCCUUUAUUUGGCGUUUUUAGUGAGUUCUCGCACAACUAGGUAUUUAUUCCGACUUGCAUACCCAGAUUUGAUUUUGUUAUGGGAUUAUGAACAUAUUUAUUAGCUUCUGAUGUCUCUUGAUUUGUUACUGUGGAUCAUAUUCCAUGAGCUAGUGUAUGAAACUUUCGUAUGUAUUGACUCCAAAAUCAAUAUAUUAUCAUGCCUUCAUUAGAUUAUUAUAUGCAAUAUAGACUGCAUAGAUGUUAGGAAAGGAGAAACUAAUGAUAUUAAUGCAUUGGCUUUGCAAACUUGUCCAUCACUGUUUUAGGUCAAUCAUUUGGGUUUAAAAUAGUGACAAAGGUGUUUGGUGUAAGUCUAUAUCCAAUAUUACAUGCUUUUGUUCUUUUUAAAAUUGGUGUGAAUAAAAUAUAUUUUUUACAAUUUUGUAACGACUCGGCCGAUUGUUUUAAGAAUUAAUGCCCGAUACAUGAUUAACUACUUGUUUCGUAUUUAUUUCUGCCAUUUUAAUUUGUCGAGAUGUUCGGUUUUGAGUUACGGAGAUUUUUGGGGUACUUAAUCCCGAAAUGAGAGCUUAGAUUUAGAAAUUUGACCGCACUCCGAAUAGCGUGAAGACUACCUCGGAAUGCAAUUCUGAUUGUUCCAUUUGCUCCGUUGGGUGAUUUCAGGCUUAAGGGCGUGUUAGGAUUCUGUUUUGGAGGUCCAUAGCUAAUAUAUGCUUGAAAUUCAGAAAGUCAAAUUUUGAAGUUUCUGAUUCCAUAGUAAGAUUAUGAUCCGAGAGUCUGAAUGGAAUUCCGGAAGUUGGAGUAGCUCUGUAGUGUUUAAUGUGACGUGUGUAAAAUAUUUCAAGUCAUUUGGACGAGGUUUGAUAACUUUUUGGUCGAAAGUAUAAAUUUAGAGCUUUGAAAUUCUUAAGCUUAAUUCCAUGGCUGAUUUAUCGUUUCGAUGUUGUAUUAGGUGUUUUAAGGAUUGGUAAAAGUUUGGACAUUGGUAUUAGACAUGUUUGUAUUUUUGGUUGAGGUCCCGGGGCCUCGGGAUGGUUUCGGAAGGAUACCAAGGGAUCCCCGGCUAUCAUCCAUGUUACAAGCGGUGUUUCCUUGUGUUUGCCUUUAUUUCUGUUUCUGGUAUUGUAUUCUUAUCAUCCUAUAUAGACUCUUACGGUAGAUUCUUAGUUACACUAUUUAUCUUAACCUGUAAUUUUUAUUAUUAUUAUAUAUCUCCGUAGGGCCCUGACCUUCCUCGUCACUACCCGAUCGAGGUUAGGCUUGAUACUUACAGAGUACCGUUGUGGUUUACUCAGGCCCUUUCUGCACAUGUUUUUCAUGUGUAGAUCCAGGUACCUCUACCCAGGCUUAUCAUUCUUGAGGUAGGGAGAUCCUUCGGAGACUUUGAGAUACAUCUGCUCUGUCCAUAGACCAAGGAGUCUCUAUCUUUAUUCUACCAUAUAGUGUUAGUUUUUCCAUCUCACUGUUGAUGCAGACAUUCUGGAGAUUAUAGCACUUUACAGUAUUUCUUCUAGCUUGUGUUCUCGUGAGCUUUUGAGUUUCGGGAUAGUGUUGUAAGAUUUUGAGAUGUUAAGAUGUAUAUGCCUAGUGGAAUCUUAUAUUUUAUUUUCUUUUGGUUAUUCUUGGCAUUAAAUUUUUAUUUUCGCAAGUUUUGAUUUUUUUUGCACUUGUUAGGCUUACCUAGUUGUGAGACUAGGUGCCGUCAUGAGAGUUCACGGAGGGCGAACUAGGAUCGUGACACAUGACAUGCUUGCGAACUUCAUGUCCAGAUCCUAAAACG